AAGAAUAAGCACCGGCUAACUACGUGCCAGCAGCCGCGGUAAUACGUAGGGUGCGAGCGUUAAUCGGAAUUACUGGGCGUAAAGCGUGCGCAGGCGGUUUUGUAAGACAGGUGUGAAAACCCCGGGCUCAACCUGGGAACUGCAUUUGUGACUGCAAGACUAGAGUACGGUAGAGGGGGAUGGAAUUCCGCGUGUAGCAGUGAAAUGCGUAGAUAUGCAGAGGAACACCGAUGGCGAAGGCAAUCCCCUGGACCUGUACUGACGCUCAUGCACGAAAGCGUGGGGAGCAAACAGGAUUAGAUACCCUGGUAGUCCACGCCCUAAACGAUGUCAACUGGUUGUUGGGUCUUUACUGACUCAGUAACGAAGCUAACGCGUGAAGUUGACCGCCUGGGGAGUACGGCCGCAAGGUUG
rnacentral:rRNA from 1 species